rnacentral:rRNA from 1 species
AACGUAGGACGCAAGCGUUAUCCGGAGUUACUGGGCGUAAAGCGCAGGUAGGCGGUUCGGUAAGUCUCUUGUGAAAGCUCCCGGCUCAACUGGGAGAGGUCAAGGGAAACUGCCGGGCUAGAGUGUGGCAGAGGAAGCUGGAAUUCCCGGUGUAGCGGUGAAAUGCGUAGAGAUCGGGAGGAAUACCUAUGGCGAAAGCAGGCUUCUGGGCCAUCACUGACACUGAUCUGCGAAAGCUAGGGGAGCAAACAGG